CAAGGGAGCAUCUGGAACUGUUGGCUGAGCAGUACAUCACAUUUUGGUGAUGCUGUCACUGAGAGACGUGGCGGAACAAAAGCAUAAGAGAUGCCAAAUGCAAGUCAAUUUAUCAGUGGCCAUGACAUUGAAAGAGACAGAUUAAUUUAUGUUUAUUUAUCGGAUGAAGAGACAGCAAACAUGACAUCAUGGAACACUGCAUCAAGAAAGGACAGGAAUGAUAAAUGUCAACAAUGAGAAAGUUUCACAGAAUUUAAUUGAUAUGUGGAAAGAAAACAAAAAGCAGAGAAACCAGGCAAAUUAAUAAAGAAAAAGAAGGUAUGAGGGAAAAUAUAAUAAUUUUGCCCCUGCAGUAAUAAUAGUUUUGCCAGCAUCAAAAAUAAAUGAUGCAUUCUGAACUUC